AAAGACUGAUGUAAAUACCUUUUUAUAAUAAAAAAAGGCAAAAUACACAUUUAAGACAAUUCUGUUUCUUAAAAAAUCACUAAGGAGCCAAAGGUAAGGUGUUGCUUUAUUCUCUUAAUCUGUAAAUGAGUAUUAGAAAAAGGUAAUAGUUCACUAGAGGUUUCAUUCCAUAUCAACUGUCAUACACUGACAGCCUGCUUCUGAAAUUCGUUUUCUGAAAAAGGCAAGAAGCUUUACGUAUAUUUCUGAUUUUUCAUUCAAACUCAUUAAUUGGUUUUACCAGGGUAAGUCUUUUCCCCACAUACUAGACAAUGCAAACUAGGGGUAAAAGCAAGGCAAAAGAUGCCAAAGGACAUCCAAACUCACUAGUCGAAAAUAAACUCGCAAAAAUAGGAAAAAGACCAAAAAGACAAACAACAGCACAUAAGACACUUCAUAGAAAACUGAAGACUGAGCAACACGAACCACACCAAAAACAGGGGGUAAUUGCCGUUGCUCCGGAAUGGUUUAUACUGUGUUAGAAAUAGACAAAAUAUAGAACCAUAUGUUAAAAUGCUUCUGGUGUAAUCGCUGGGGAAUCAUAUUUGCAUGUUUAGAAAUUGAGUUUCGAUCGGAUUUUAAAAUUAGAAUUCAAAAUGUUGACACCUUACCAUCAAUUCAUCAGCAUCAACAGGAUGAUUGAUAACUUUGUCAAAUACUAUUCAGACUAAAAUUUAUUAACUAGAGAAAUAAACGGGUUUUUUGUGUAGUAGUAGUAUUAAGGCUUGUAAAGGCUUAAUUUUUGGCAUAUAGAUUUGAAAAUGUAUGUUAUUCGAAAAAUGUUGUUGAUUAAAGAUGUCAUCUUUGUAAACAAAAAAUGUUUACCACAAUCAUUAAUUGCGUUAAUUGUAUCUCAUUAUUUCAUAUUUAAAAAAAAAAGAAAAAAAAGAAAAACACGAGGUUUGCUUCUUUCUUUGGAAAUUUUUUAGUAUAUCUACAUGUAUACUUAGUGCGAUUAAUGUAUUUUGUGACAAACUCGUCAUUUUUUAUAUGAGGUAAUCAAGGUGUAGUUUACAUAUAUACAAAUCCAUGUAAUGAAUGCAAUUGAAAAAUAAAAUUGUUACAAGUUUUUUAGUGUUACAUUUUCAGAGGCAAAAAAUAUGAAAAAGAAAACAGAAGAAAGCUCUUAUGAAGACAUUGGAGAUGUUAAAAGCAUCAAAACUGAUAACAUUUACCAAAAUUGGACACCAACAGACAAUGAAUCACAAAGGCAUUACCAAGAAAAGAUAAUAUAUGAAAACUUGCAUCCUUAACCUUGUAACUUAAAUUUAUUUCAUUUUCUUGUUCAUUGACUUCUUUUUAUCUAUUUGUAUGCAGUUCUAUACAACUUGCAUAUAUUCAAAAGAGGGUAAAAUUGCCUUGAAAGAAAGGUAAAACAUGGCAUAAUAUGGGAUACUCGAUACUAGAAACAGGAAGAAGCUUUCAAAAAAAGAGUAAAUCAAAUAAAGUUUGUUUUACGGCAACUAUGAAGAUACUGAAAUUAACUGGAUGAACCAUAUACUAUGAAUAAAAAUUCAAAUGUUCGCAAAAACCUAGGGCUGGUAGAGUAACUUGACUAUAUGAAUUUUAUAAAUACAUAAUUAUGUACAUAAUCUUUCAAUUCAGGACCUAGUGAUGUUGCUUAUCUAUGUUAUUAAUAUACAAAUUUCAACAUACAUUUUUGUGUUGAAAUUAUGCACACAUGAUUUAAUUUGAAGUGUAAAUAUGUGUUAGAAUAUAAAUCUAUGUAUGAAACAUUGAAGGCUGCUUCUUUUAACAAACUAAUCAGUUUUACAAUAUAAGAUAUGCAGUCAUAGGUUUAGUUAUAGUAUUAAAAGUAUUUAAAGUUUA